GACGAACGCUGGCGGCGUGCUUAACACAUGCAAGUCGAGCGGUAAGGCCCUUCGGGUACGACGAGCGGCGAACGGGUGAGUAACACGUGGGUGACCUCGCCUCUAGCUCUGGGAUAAGCCUGGGAAACUGGGUCUAAUACCGGAUAUGACUCCACGGCGCAUGUUGUGGGGUGGAAAGCCUUGUGUGGCUAGAGAUGGGCCCGCGGCCUAUCAGCUUGUUGGUGGGGUGAUGGCCUACCAAGGCGACGACGGGUAGCCGGCCUGAGAGGGCGACCGGCCACACUGGGACUGAGACACGGCCCAGACUCCUACGGGAGGCAGCAGUGGGGAAUCUUGCGCAAUGGGCGAAAGCCUGACGCAGCGACGCCGCGUGAGGGAUGACGGCCU
rnacentral:rRNA from 1 species